rnacentral:rRNA from 1 species
AACCGGAUUAGAUACCCUGGUAGUCCACGCCCUAAACGAUGUCUACUAGUUGUCGGGUCUUAAUUGACUUGGUAACGCAGCUAACGCGUGAAGUAGACCGCCUGGGGAGUACGGUCGCAAGAUUAAAACUCAAAGGAAUUGACGGGGACCCGCACAAGCGGUGGAUGAUGUGGAUUAAUUCGAUGCAACGCGAAAAACCUUACCUACCCUUGACAUGUACAGAAUCCCGAAGAGAUUUGGGAGUGUUCGAAAGAAAACUGUAACACAGGUGCUGCAUGGCUGUCGUCAGCUCGUGUCGUGAGAUGUUGGGUUAAGUCCCGCAACGAGCGCAACCCUUGUCAUUAGUUGCUACGAAAGGGCACUCUAAUGAGACUGCCGGUGACAAACCGGAGGAAGGUGGGGAUGACGUCAAGUCCUCAUGGCCCUUAUGGGUAGGGCUUCACACGUCAUACAAUGGUACAUACAGAGGGCCGCCAACCCGCGAGGGGGAGCUAAUCCCAGAAAGUGUAUCGUAGUCCGGAUUGUAGUCUGCAACUCGACUACAUGAAGUUGGAAUCGCUAGUAAUCGCGGAUCAGCAUGUCGCGGUGAAUACGUUCCCGGGUCUUGUACACACCGCCCGUCACACCAUGGGAGCGGGUUUUACCAGAAGUAGAUAGCCUAACCGUAAGGAGGGCGCUUACCACGGUAGGAUUCGUGACUGGGGUGAAGUCGUAACAAGGUAACCGUA